GGACCCGCACAAGUAGUGGAGCAUGUGGUUUAAUUCGAAGAUACGCGCAGAACCUUACCAACACUUGACAUGUUCGUCGCGACUUUAAGAGAUUAAAGUUUUCGGUUCGGCCGGACGAAACACAGGUGCUGCAUGGCUGUCGUCAGCUCGUGUCGUGAGAUGUUGGUUAAGUCCCGCAACGAGCGCAACCCUCACUUUUAGUUGCCAUCAUUUAGUUGGGCACUCUGAAAGAACUGCCAGUGAUAAGCUGGAGGAAGGUGGGGAUGACGUCAAGUCCUCAUGGCCCUUACGUGUUGGGCUACACACGUGCUACAAUGGUCGGUACAGAGGGCAGCGAAGCUGCGAAGUGGAGCG
rnacentral:rRNA from 1 species